AGCGGCGGACGGGUUAGUAACGCGUGGGAACGUACCCAGAUCUACGGAAUAGCCUCGGGAAACUGAGAGUAAUACCGUAUACGCCCUUCGGGGGAAAGAUUUAUCGGAUUUGGAUCGGCCCGCGUAAGAUUAGAUAGUUGGUGGGGUAAUGGCCUACCAAGUCUACGAUCUUUAGCUGGUUUGAGAGGAUGAUCAGCAACACUGGGACUGAGACACGGCCCAGACUCCUACGGGAGGCAGCAGUGGGGAAUCUUAGACAAUGGGCGCAAGCCUGAUCUAGCGAUGCCGCGUGAGUGAUGAAGGCCUUAGGGUCGUAAAGCUCUUUCGCCUGUGAAGAUAAUGACGGUAGCAGGUAAAGAAACCCCGGCUAACUCCGUGCCAGCAGCCGCGGUAAUACGGAGGGGGUUAGCGUUGUUCGGAAUUACUGGGCGUAAAGCGCACGUAGGCGGACUAGUCAGUCAGAGGUGAAAUCCCAGGGCUCAACCCUGGAACUGCCUUUGAUACUGCUAGUCUUGAGUUCGAGAGAGGUAAGUGGAAUUCCGAGUGUAGAGGUGAAAUUCGUAGAUAUUCGGAGGAACACCAGUGGCGAAGGCGGCUUACUGGCUCGAUACUGACGCUGAGGUGCGAAAGUGUGGGAGCAAACAGGAUUAGAUACCCUGGUAGUCCACACCGUAAACGAUGAAUGCCAGACGUCGGGUAG
rnacentral:rRNA from 1 species